rnacentral:rRNA from 1 species
UACGUAGGUGGCAAGCGUUGUCCGGAAUUAUUGGGCGUAAAGCGCGCGCAGGCGGUCCUUUAAGUCUGAUGUGAAAGCCCACGGCUCAACCGUGGAAGGUCAUUGGAAACUGGAGGACUUGAGUACAGAAGAGGAAAGCGGAAUUCCACGUGUAGCGGUGAAAUGCGUAGAGAUGUGGAGGAACACCAGUGGCGAAGGCGGCGACCUGGUCCAUUACUGACGCUGAGGCGCGAAAGCGUGGGGAGCAAACAGG